ACCCUACGGGCGGCAGCAGUAGGGAAUCUUCCACAAUGGACGAAAGUCUGAUGGAGCAACGCCGCGUGAGUGAAGAAGGGUUUCGGCUCUUAAAGCUCUGUUGGUAGUGAAGAAAGAUAGAGGUAGUAACUGGCCUUUAUUUGACGGUAAUUACUUAGAAAGUCACGGCUAUCUACGUGCCAGCAGCCGCGGUAAUACGUAGGUGUCUAGCGUUGUCCGGAUUGAUUGGGCGUAAAGCG
rnacentral:rRNA from 1 species